rnacentral:lncRNA from 1 species
AUGAGCCAGAUAGGCAGCAUUGUUGGGUUCAGCAUUGGCUUUUAUAGAGUUUUUAUUUUUCUGUUUAUUUCAGGUGACGACGAUGGGAUUGAAAUAUACAAAAUAAUAUGGAGAAUGUCUGCAUCAACACAAAGAAUGCUUUGUCUCCUGAAGUCAGGGACAGCUUCAGGGGCACAGGGUCUGUGCAGUUGCCCAGUGUUGAAGUCUCCAGCUGCUGUUUGGGAACAAGCUACGAAGGAUGAACUGAACAGGACUGUUUCUGGGUUUGCAGGAAGAGCCCUGGUGAUCUGGUGUGCAGUGUCCCCACGGCUCAAGGUAAGAGGCCGUCUCAGCUGCUGCCAGUCAACUGCUGUUCCCCUGUGCUCUGCAGAGCCCUGUGCAGCUGCAAAGGAAACAGUGGCAAACUGCACUGUGACGCUCACACUGGAGAAUGGGGGCCUCGACGUCCUGAUCCCCAUGUGUGGUUUUCUCCUCACUUACCUUAUGUUCCUCCCUCUGUCCUGUUUUCCUACUUCAUUUCUAUCCUCCCUCUUCUGCUCACUAUGCGGGAAGUUAUUUUUAGUAAAAGGCCUAUGGUUCAGAAGCUGUCACCUGCAGUUCCACCAUCCCAUAUGA